CUAGCUGUAAACGAUGUGGACUUGGCGUUGGUGGGGUAAAAUCCAUCAGUGCCGGAGUUAACACGGUAAGUCCACCGCCUGGGGACUACGGCCGCAAGGUUAAAACUCAAAGGAAUUGACGGGGCCCCGCACAAGCAGCGGAGCGUGUGGUUUAAUUCGAUGCUACGCGAAGAACCUUACCCGGGUUUGACAUAUUGGUGGUAGGGAUCCGAAAGGUGACCGACCCUUCGGGGAGCCAAUACAGGUGCUGCAUGGCUGUCGUCAGCUCGUGUCGUGAGAUGUCCGGUUAAGUCCGGUAACGAGCGCAACCCUCGUCGUAUGUUACAAGUGUCACGCGGGACUGCCAGUCUUAAGCUG
rnacentral:rRNA from 1 species